AGGAGUCUGAAAGGGCCGAGGGCCACGCGGAAAGCCGAACUCCAAGGUCGAGGGAGCCCAGGCUGAGUCCGUAAGUAGCCCCUGGGGGAGCAGGUCGGCCUGUGCUGCUUGUGGGAGCUGUCGCAGCGAUGCAGGUGUGCAGAGCUUCCUCCGUUUGUGCUUCCAGGGCACCUCGUUGGCGUGAGCGUCCUUUUGCAUAGGAGUCUUCGUCGAAUGCCCGGCAAGGAGGUGGGGGAGACGAGAGAGGUGCGCCCCGGAGCACGUAGUGUGAGCAUGAACAAUGCUGCGUUGAUGCACUGAAACACCAGAAGGCCCCAGCGAGGAGCACAGCGCUGCUGAUACGGGGAGCGAGGGAGGAUCCCUGCGCUGGAGAUGUCGGGUGAGUGCCCCAAAGCGGCGCGUGACCAAACCCAAACGCCGAGGUGGCUUUGGGGGCCCCCG
rnacentral:lncRNA from 1 species